rnacentral:rRNA from 1 species
UCCUACGGGAGGCAGCAGUGGGGAAUUUUGCGCAAUGGGGGAAACCCUGACGCAGCGACGCCGCGUGGAGGAUGAAGGCCCUUGGGUUGUAACCUCCUGUCAGGAAGGACGAACGGCAGGGUAGUUAAUACCUGCCCUGUUUGACGGUACUUCCAGAGGAAGCUCCGGCUAACUCCGUGCCAGCAGCCGCGGUAAGACGGAGGGAGCAAGCGUUGCUCGGAAUCACUGGGCGUAAAGGGCGUGUAGGCGGGAGGGUCAGUCGGAUGCGAAAGCCCCGGGCUCAACUCGGGAAGUGCAUUCGAUACUGCCGUUCUUGAGUGUGGUAGAGGAGAGCGGAAUUCCUGGUGUAGCGGUGAAAUGCGUAGAUAUCAGGAAGAACACCUGUGGCGAAGGCGGCUCUCUGGACCAAUACUGACGCUGAGGCGCGAAAGCUAGGGGAGCGAACGGGAUUAGAUACCCCGGUAGUCCUAGCCGUAAACGAUGGGCACUAGGUGCGGGAGGCGUUGACCCCUUCUGUGCCGGAGCUANCGCAUUAAGUGCCCGCCUGGGGAGUACGGCCGCAAGGCUAAACUCAAGGAAUUGACGGGGA